AAGAGACGUUGCCCUUCGGGGUAUACCUCCCACCCUUUGUUUCUUAUACCUUUGUUGCUUUGGCGGGCCCGUCCUCGGACCACCGGCUUCUGCUGGUCAGUGCCCGCCAGAGGACCUAAAACUCUGUUUGUUAAUAUUGUCUGAGUACUAUAUAAUAGUUA
rnacentral:misc_RNA from 1 species